rnacentral:rRNA from 1 species
UACGUAGGGUGCAAGCGUUGUCCGGAAUUAUUGGGCGUAAAGAGCUCGUAGGCGGUUUGUCGCGUCGGAUGUGAAAAUCCAGGGCUCAACCCUGGACCUGCAUUCGAUACGGGCAGACUAGAGUUCGGUAGGGGGAGACUGGAAUUCCUGGUGUAGCGGUGAAAUGCGCAGAUAUCAGGAGGAACACCGGUGGCGAAGGCGGGUCUCUGGGCCGAAACUGACGCUGAGGAGCGAAAGCGUGGGGAGCAAACAGG